AUUCAACAUUAUGAAUUCUGGGUUUGACUCCCAGCUUUGGAGAAAAAUUUAUGUUUUAUUCUUUUGAAUAUUUUUUUCUUCUUAACUCAUGUAUUUUCAAUUUAAAACGUAUCCUAUAAAAAAUAAAUUUAAUAAAGCUAUUAUUAAUGGCCUGCAGUUUAAACGGCGCAUUUUUGUAAAAAUCGAAAGUAAUUUGAUUAUGAACUUAAUAAUUCAUAAUAGAUAUUUAUUAAUUAUCAACAAUUAAUGUUAUGUUG
rnacentral:lncRNA from 1 species